UGGUCAUUAUUGGAUGGCAUAAGUGCUUC
rnacentral:piRNA from 1 species